rnacentral:rRNA from 1 species
UACAGAGGUCCCAAGCGUUGUUCGGAUUCAUUGGGCGUAAAGGGUGCGUAGGUGGUGCCGUAAGUCAGGUGUGAAAUCUUGGAGCUUAACUCCGAAACUGCAUUCGAUACUGCCGUGCUUGAGGACUGGAGAGGAGACUGGAAUUUACGGUGUAGCGGUGAAAUGCGUAGAUAUCGUAAGGAAGACCAGUGGCGAAGGCGGGUCUCUGGACAGUUCCUGACGCUGAGGCACGAAGGCCAGGGGAGCAAACGGG